rnacentral:rRNA from 1 species
GAUGAACGCUGGCGGCGUGCCUAAUACAUGCAAGUCGAGCGAACGGACGAGAAGCUUGCUUCUCUGAUGUUAGCGGCGGACGGGUGAGUAACACGUGGAUAACCUACCUAUAAGACUGGGAUAACUUCGGGAAACCGGAGCUAAUACCGGAUAAUAUUUUGAACCGCAUGGUUCAAAAGUGAAAGACGGUCUUGCUGUCACUUAUAGAUGGAUCCGCGCUGCAUUAGCUAGUUGGUAAGGUAACGGCUUGCCAAGGCAACGAUGGAUAGCCGACCUGAGAGGGUGAUCCGCCACACUGGAACUGAGACACGGUCCAGACUCCUACGGGAGGCAGCAGUAGGGAAUCUUCCGCAAUGGGCGAAAGCCUGACGGAGCAACGCCGCGUGAGUGAUGAAGGUCUUCGGAUCGUAAAACUCUGUUAUUAGGGAAGAACAUAUGUGUAAGUAACUGUGCACAUCUUGACGGUACCUAAUCAGAAAGCCACGGCUAACUACGUG